GUCCCUUAUCCCAGGGCCAUGUCCCGCUGCUGUCCCUUAUUGAUGAUGUCCCUUAAAUAAGCUACUGAAGGUAAUGGGGCCCUUUCUAUGUCCAGCUGUGCUUUGUCAACAACAAAUUGUUGCUGUUUUUUUGUGUUGAAUAUAUGCUAUAUGGUAAUUUAUGGACCUAAUAGGUAUCUAAAGCCAUUUGCACACAACAAAAUAUGUAUUUUAUCAAAGUAAUUGUUGAUCCCUUAUUUUGGCUGCUGAUCCCAUAUUUUCGAGGCUGC
rnacentral:lncRNA from 1 species